AGAUUUUUGCUUGCCAAAAAUAAAUGAAUCAGUUAAAAUAUUCCACAUAGAGAUCUGCAGAUCCGAAAUGCAGAGAGGUCACUGUAAACAGCUGAAAGAAUUUCCCUCUCCCCAAGAGAGCAAUCAUCAAGUAUGUUCUCUGAGGAAGAAGAAGCGCAGUUUUAGAAUGUGUUUCCUGCUCUGGAUCAUUUUUAAUGUUCUGAAGGCAGCAGUUACUUCAUUUAAAACAAGUAUUUCAGACCUUGUAAUUAGGAUAGCUGCUCUAAUUAUUUUUUACAAGUGCUGCGUUUCAAAACUAAUUAUAUAUAUAUAUAUGUAUGUAUGUUAAGGCCUCAUGUGAAAAAAGAAAUGCAAAGCAAACCUCACAACAGCAACGUAAGGCCCUGCCUGUUUUUCUCCUGGUUACCAACCCUGUACAAAUUAAAAGCACAUUAGCUACUUUGAAAACAAAUCUGCCUGCAGUUCAACCUUUUCUCUUUGGAGUUUUAGUUUGAAGAUAGCGGUGGCAUUUCACUGCCUGAGCCACUUGAGUGAAUUUCCUGGUUUUGCUUGGUUGCUUAAUUUCCUGUUGGGCUCAUAUUUUGCUUAAUUCAAGACAAAAAGACCCCUAUAAAUUGGAUGAAUGAUUGAAAUUGCAGAGCUGGACGUAGUAGUUCGAUUGCAGUUCAGUAUGUGCCUGUCUGAAGAGAGGUAGGAUUUCUGAGACAUGCAUGUAGCUCUAAAAAUGUCUUUAAUUCAGCAUUUUCUCUCCUUAUCGAAUUACCCCUCUAAAUAUCCAAAUAUCUGUUAUCAAAGGUCUUCUCUUCGUGUUCAGCUUUUAAUGCGUGUCCAUGACAAGUUUUCCCCUGUUACGACAUAACUCUUAAGUCUCUAAAACAGGACCAAAAUAAAACAAUAGGAAGUGCCACAGUCUGUUAUUCAUAACAGCUCUCCAGCAGUACUUGGGAGUACAUAUGAAACAGAUCUACUUCUCUGCAUUCUCUGCGUGAUUUCUCCAGUACUAGGCUUUACAUUCAUGUUUUAUAUACUCGAGAUAACUCAGCGUUAUCUCCUGCAUGGGGCUGAAAGCUUCAGGAUUCAAAUUCUGCAUUGACCGGAUCAUAGCAUCGUAGAAUUAUAGAAUAGAAUCAAAGAAUGCUCUUAAGUUGGAAGGAACCUUCAAGGACCAUUGACUCCAACCUCUGGCUCUACUCAGGACCACCCAAAACUGAGGCUACAUGAAAGUCGUGACAACACCCUGUUACAGAACCUACUUCUGAUGUAUCUGUAACUAAAGUUUCUUUUCAAUCAACAACUUGAUGGGUACCAAAUUAUUAAUUUAGAUGGUCUAUUAGUGGCAGGGAUCUCCCUUGCUUGUACAUCUGGUUAAUGGCCUAGAACAUCAUCACUGUUUACAGUUAUUUCUAACAGGAACUGAGAUCAAAGAUCAAGUUAAUGGAAGAAAGAACAAUGCAAGAUGAGAGCCAGCCCUCUGGUAGGAGGGACUAUAUUCAGCCCUUGCAGAGCCUUGUCUGGCCCGGGGCAACCCGAAUACCUCUCUUUUGUUCCGUGCUCCUUCAUCACCACAGCAACAAACGGGGAAUCUAAACACAGUGCAGUCAGCAGCAGAAGCAAGGCUGGCACCGAAUGGGGAGCAAAAGAAGCAACAUCAGUGACUCCUAUCCUGGGUUCUACAAGAGAGGAUCCACCUUUGUGCAAGCCAACAUCUUUGCAACACCGCUGAGCCCCACUAUGCAGCAGGAAUUACAGCAUCAGAGCUACAGAUGAACAUGGACUACUUGUUGUUGGUUCUGAGUCUGGGAAGGGAUCUUUGCCAGCUGCAGCUGCUGGAAGGUACAGCGACUUGGCAUGGUUUGGGAACUGAUGGAUCAUCUGGCUUUGGAGCCAAGGAAGCUUGGACGCUCUCAUCCACGGCCUCUGGUUCCAGGAGUGUCAGAAGGCCUCCAGUUUUUCCCUAAUCUGAGAUUUGUGAGGCACCCUGAAACAUCUGUAUCACCAGGCUAUGUCAUGGGAAAGUUCUUUUUGCUGGUUA